GUGUGAGGGCGUGUUAGGGGCGGGGCGGAGGACAGGACCGGCACCCAUGAGGAAGGCCGUGAAGGAGCGACUGGCCGACACAGCACCAAUGGGGAAAGGAUACCAAGAGUCCUUCAGGGAUACGAUGACGAGGAGUAAAGGAACAAUAAAAAAGUUCUAAAGAGGAGUAAAGGAUCACCAAGCAAGGAUACCGAGAGUCCUACAGGGAUACGAUAACGAGGAGUAAAGGAACAAUAAAAAAGUUCUAAAGAGGAGUAAAGGAUCACCAAGCAAGGAUACCGAGAGUCCUACAGGGAUACGAUAACGAGGAGUAAAGGAACAACAAAAGAAAGUCCUACAGCGGAGUUAAGGAUCACCAAGCAAGGAUACCGAGAGUCCUACAGGGAUACGAUGACGAGGAGUAAAGGACCACCAAAUAAGGAUACCGAGAGUCCUUCAGGGAGUUAAGAAGCACCAAAGGAAAGUCACCAAGAAGAGUAAAGGAUCACCAAGCAAGGAUACCAAGAGUCCUUCAGGGAUACGAUGACGAGGAGUAAAGGAACAACAAAAGAAAGUCCCACAGAGGAGUAAAGGAUCACCAAGAAAGGAUACCAAGAGUCCUUCAGGGAUACGAUGACGAGGAGUAAAGGACCACCAAAUAAGGAUACCGAGAGUCCUUCAGGGAGUUAAGAAGCACCAAAGGAAAGUCACCAAGAAGAGUAAAGGAUCACCAAGCAAGGAUACCAAGAGUCCUUCAGGGAUACCAGGACGUAGGUGUGAUAGGAUGACGAGUAAAGAAGCACAAGAGGUCAACACCAGUCCUUUAAGUUCGAAACACAAGGGGAAUAUGACCACCAAAGGGUAUCAUUACGCGUCCUACAGAGAUAAUAGGACUUAGGAGUGAUAGGAUGAGGAGUAGGAAGCACAAGAGAAGGUCAACAUGAAUCCUUAAAGUUUGAAAGACGGGCAAUACAGGACAACCAGAGGAUACCACCAGGAGUCCUUCAAGAUAUUAGAACAUAGGAAGGAUAGGAUGAGGAGUAGGAAGCUCAAGAGAAGGUCAACAUGAAUCCUUAAAGUUUGAAAGACGGGUAAUAAAGGAAUACCAAAGGAUACCACCAGGAGUCCUUCAAGAUAUUGGAACAUAGGAGGGAUAGGAUGUGGAGCAAAGGAUACCCCACCUGAGGAUGUUAACACGUGUCCUUAAAGUCCGCAAAACGAGAAGAGAAGGAGAGUGAGGGUGAAUGAAGGAGUGACGGAGAGGGAAGGAGAACCAGGAGGCAUUGAGUCCCACUGCGAACCCCUUGCUUGGGUGAGGAGAAGAAUCAAGACCCACAGUGGAUCGGCCUCCUUGUCGGUUUGUGGGUUCGUGACGUGACAAAAAUUCGAGUGCAAGAGUUUACGAUGAAGGGUUACUUAGCACCGCAGAGGACGCGAGGGACGGCUUCUGGUGGCGUUGGGAGUGGGGGUCAUCUUGUCGAAAUCGGUUCAUUGGCCUCAACGGAAUGGAAAUCUUACAUCACCUAACUCCACCUGCGACUCACUCACCUGCUGCGCCUCUAACACUAACGACGCAGACCACACCUGUACAAGUCAUUGCCAUCCACAACUUGGUGAGAAAGGGAAAGUGUGUGCGAGAGGAAAACAUUACUUCCUAAAAAUAAAGUUACAGUUGUUCCCAUAAAAAAAAAUAUAUGCUUAUACUAAGUGUGUGAGUGUCUGAAACUAGUCAUUCAUUCAUAAAAGAUGAUAUAUACUAAAGAUUGAAGUGCAAAAAAUAAAUAAAUAGAUAAAUAAAUUAAUAAAUAAAAAUCACUAAUAAAGAGAAUAUUGAAGAAAUAUGUAAACUAUGGCUGUGUUUGGAGAAGAAACUAAGACAUUCAUUCAUAAGCGAAAAAAAUCUUAUUCUACUCAUUAUUCAUUCAUUUUAUCAUUCAUAAGUGAAAAACUAUAUGAGUGUACUAUGCUACAAAGAAAAAAAAUACAGGAUUCAUAAAGAAGAAGAAAUGCACCUGUUCUAAAAAAAAAACUCUUUACCCUAAACGCGUGAAAAAAAUGAAACCUUAAUUUAUGAAACCAGAAGAAAAAACUACAGUCGGUUUCGUGAAAAAAUAUAUCAACUUCAUGUGUAUAUGCAAAGAAACAAAAUUCUUCUUUCAUAAAAAAAAUAUAUAUAUAAAGUUGACAUUUAUGGAAAAAAUCACUUAUUCAUAACAGUAAAAAAAUCUUACCUAUUGGAUCUAAGUUAGAAUAAAAAUAUGCAAAUCAAACAAGACUAGUGGGCAGCAACAAACAACAACAACAACAAAACAUUCAUUCAAACAGGAACAAACAUUACCGCUUAAUAAAACUACAUAAAACAACAACAGCGAUAACAACAGCGAUAACAACAGCGAUAACAGCAACCACUAGCCAGCAACCAUUCACAGCGCUCAACGGACAAGCACUAACUGGCAAUCAAGACACGAAGCUACAGUCUCUCUACGUAGCAACACGGCCGAGGCACAGACAGACAGAGAGGCACACUACUCAGAGCCAGCCUUGCAGCCAAUCACUCAAGUCUACGGGGAACGAACAUAUAACACUAUGGAUCAAGAUUUCGCUAUAGCCGGGAAAGGAGAGAGAGGGGGAAAGGCAGAGAGGGUGAGAAAGAAGAGAAAGGAAGAAGAGAAGGGGAGAGAUAAAGAAAUGGAAGGAAAGAGGGGGAAAGACAGAGAGGGCGAGGAAGAAGGGACCUAAAGAGAGAUAGAGGAGGAAGAGAAGGGGAGAGAUAAAGAAAUGUAAACGAAAGAGGGGGAAAGACAGAGAGGGUGAGAAAAAAGAAACCUAAAGAGAGAUAGAGGAGGAAGAGAAGGGGAGAGAUAAAGAAAUGUAAAGGAAAGAGGGAGAAAGGCAGAGAGGGUGAGAAAAAAGAGACCUAAAGGGAGAUAGAGGAGGAAGAGAAGGGGAGAGAUAAAGAGAUAGACAGGAAGAGAAAGAGAGGGAGAAUGGAGCAGUUACCCCCAAAGAUAACCUUAUCCCUUCCCUCUAUCGGUUAUAGCGGAGGAAGAGGAAGGGAGAGAUAAAGAGAUAGACAGAAAGAGAAGGAGAAUGGAACAGUUACCCCCAAAGACAACCCUAUCCCCCUUCCCUCUAUCGGUUAUCGCCUCGAGGCCUCAAGCACGGCAGACAGGAGCUAGCGGGGAGGAGAUGCGUGUGUUAGGUCGUACGCUGAGGCCAGAAGCAACGGCGGGCGGGCGGCGGGGACUCGGAGGACAGACCCACACACACACACACACACACACAUACAGGGACGUUCAUUGCUGUCAGGUGAUUUAUGUCUGUGUUUAUGUGGGCAGGUGAGGAGGGAUGUGGGAGGGGAAGAAGAGAAGGUGGAUGAGAAUGGAACAGGAAGAGAAAUGGGUUGGAGGAAGAGAGGGAGAGACGGUGUUUUUUUUUUUUGUGUGUGUGUGUUUGUUAAUUAAGAGGAAGACGAAAGGGGUGUGGGAGGGGAGGAGGAUGAGGAAGAGGAGGAACGGAUAGAGGAAUGGGUUGGGGAAGGAAGGGAAAGAGUGGUUUAAGGAAGAAGAAGAGGAAGGUUAAAGAGGAGACAGAGGAGGAGAACGUGUGGGGAAAGGAGAGACAGAAGAAGAGAGAAGAGGAGAGUAAGAGAUAAAGAGAGAGAGAUCAAACACUUUCUCUUCUCUCUUCUCCUCCUUUCCUCCCUUCUCUCCACCCCUGAGUGUCACCGUGGAGAGGAAGAGGAAAGAGAUGAGAGAGAAAGAGAAAGAAAACGAGAGCUCAAACACUUCCUCUUUUCUCUUUACCUCUCUUCUCUAGCCUCCUCUUCAUCCCUUGUACAGAAGAGGAGGAGGAGGAGGAGGAAGAUGAGGUGUGAAGGACUGAAGAGAGGAAGAGCAAGAGGUUGGGAGGAGAGGGAAGAGGAAUUUGUUGUUCAAGGGAAGAGAGGAAGAGAGAGGUAAAAGAGGGCAUGGGAGGUGAAGAAGAGAGAGAUGGAGAGAGAGAUCAGGAAGAGAGGACAUGGGAGAUGGAGAAGAGAGAGAUGGAGAGAGAGAUCAGGAAUAGAGGACAUAGGAGGUGGAGAAGAGAGAGACGGAGAGAGAGAUCAGGAAGAGAGGACAUAGGAGGUGGAGAAGAGAGAGAUGGAGAGAGAGAUCAGGAAUAGAGGACAUAGGAGGUGGAGAAGAGAGAGACGGAGAGAGAGAUCAGGAAGAGAGGACAUGGGAGGUGAAGAAGAGAGAGAUGGAGAGAGAGAUCAGGAAGAGAGGACAUGGGAGGUGAAGAAGAGAGAGACGGAGAGAGAGAUCAGGAAGAGAGGACAUAGGAGGUGGAGAAGAGAGAGACGGAGAGAGAGAUCAGGAAGAGAGGACAUAGGAGAUGGAGAAGAGAGAGAUGGAGAGAGAGAUCAGGAAGAGAGGACAUAGGAGGUGGAGAAGAGAGAGACGGAGAGAGAGAUCAGGAAGAGAGGACAUAGGAGGUGGAGAAGAGAGAGAUGGAGAGAGAGAUCAGGAAGAGAGGACAUAGGAGGUGGAGAAGAGAGAGACGGAGAGAGAGAUCAGGAAGAGAGGACAUGGGAGGUGGAGAAGAGAGAGAUGGAGAGAGAGAUCAGGAAGAGAGGACAUAGGAGGUGGAGAAGAGAGAGAUGGAGAGAGAGAUCAGGAAGAGAGGACAUGGGAGAUGGAGAAGAGAGAGACGGAGAGAGAGAUCAGGAAGAGAGGACAUGGGAGGUGGAGAAGAGAGAGAUGGAGAGAGAGAUCAGGAAGAGAGGACAUAGGAGGUGGAGAAGAGAGAGAUGGAGAGAGAGAUCAGGAAGAGAGGACAUAGGAGGUGGAGAAGAGAGAGAUGGAGAGAGAGAUCAGGAAGAGAGGACAUGGGAGAUGGAGAAGAGAGAGACGGAGAGAGAGAUCAGGAAGAGAGGACAUGGGAGGUGAAGAAGAGAGAGACGGAGAGAGAGAUCAGGAAGAGAGGACAUGGGAGGUGAAGAAGAGAGAGACGGAGAGAGAGAUCAGGAAGAGAGGACAUAGGAGGUGGAGAAGAGAGAGAUGGAGAGAGAGAUCAGGAAGAGAGGACAUAGGAGGUGAAGAAGAGAGAGACGGAGAGAGAGAUCAGGAAGAGAGGACAUGGGAGGUGGAGAAGAGAGAGAUGGAGAGAGAGAUCAGACACUCUCCCAUCCUCUCUCUACUCUCCCUCUCUUCUCCUCUCCCUUGUGUGGACGUCUAUCCCCGCGUCACCCGCCGGAACAUCUCACAGAAGCUGGUGCGGACGGCAACUACGGUGCGGCGCUACAGACGGCGGCCAGGGUGAGUUGCAGGAGGGGAGGGGACCGCAGCGGCACCUCCAGCUAC